rnacentral:lncRNA from 1 species
CACGGGAAGGGAAAUUCAAACAUCAAACAGGAUUGAUGGGUUUAUCAUCAUCGCACUACAUUACAGAGUGACCUCUGCAGACUGGAAAUUGGGUUACAUCAACAAACCUCACUUUAAAGUGUGAGAUGAAAGAGUGCCUCCCCUAACGUUUUGUGGUAUAACUGGCUCACGUUUAAAGAAAGUAUGCAGCCAGGUACCCGUGUCACAUUUCAAUCUGUGAUAUUGACAUGGAUGUGAAAACCCAAGCCUUUGAAACUGAGCCUUUCAUAAGUUCAACAAAAACCUGAAACGCACUCUCCUGCGAAGACCUGAAGGACAGAGAAGUGGAUAGUUUGACAAUUGCCUCAGCCCUGACACCACAGUCUACAGUGCAGAACCAGGUCUUAUAGUAGAAGUCCGGGAUCUUGCCAGGAGGAAAUCAUAGUUCCAGUUCCUGUGGGAUCACAUGGAGGCACCACUGGAAAAUCCACUGGAAUGAGCAGGCAUAGAACAGCAAGCAAGUCAGAAGAAAGAAACUGGUCGGACACAUCCAGGAAGAGGCUGUGACUGGCAGAACAGACUGCUUUCAACUUCAGGUAUGGGUCAUAGUACCAGUCCCAUAGAAAGAAGAACUGCUGAC